GAGCUCUCACCUCAAGUCAUACUCGCCCUAAAAAAAGAGCCAUACUCACCGACCAGAGAUCGCCGGUCAUCUCCCCACUUCGCCGGCCACCACCCCCGCUCGACCCCUUUCCCAACCAACGCAUCCACUGCUCCUCCAGCCGGGCAGAGCGGAGGCGGCCGCUCGCGCGCGACGGCGGGUGCCGGCCACCUCCCCCAACCCUUAACCUCCCCAGUCCCCACCUCGCCGGCCACCGCCCCCGCACGGUGCACGCCCGCCUCCUCUCCACUUCUCUGCGGACGUCGCUCGCCGUCUCUGUUUCCUGCCGAUCUCACUUCACCAUCGACAGCAGGCCUACGUAUGGCGGCCAGACGCAACAUUCCUUAUUCUGUUCUUCCUACAGAGGACAGGGAUGAGGACAAUAUUGACCGUCGGUUCACAUACACCCCAAAAUCCUUGAGGAGGAUCCCAUGGAAGUCGAUUGCCCUAGCCUUAUUCCUCCUCUUCCUGGGAAGCUCUCUUCUGUUCCUUUCGUAUUUUAUAUUCACAGGUCACAUGGAGGGUGAUAGCACUCAGGUGUAUGGUCUAUUGUUCCUGGGUAUCCUUGCCUUUCUUCCUGGAUUUUAUGAGACCCGAGUUGCAUACUAUUCAUGGAGAGGAGCACCAGGCUACACCUUUGCAUCCAUUCCUGAUUAUUAG
rnacentral:rRNA from 1 species